AAACUUUUAAAGGAUAACAG
rnacentral:tRNA from 1 species